rnacentral:rRNA from 1 species
AUGAGACUUGCCGCCGUCAUCGACAGGAUCAUCUCCCCUGCGCAAUCCGCCUUUCAGAGGAAGAAGUGUAUACAUGAUAGCUAUCUGUACGUCCAGAACACGGUCAGGGCGCUGCAUCGAUCUAGAACCCCCGCCCUUCUCCUCAAGCUCGACAUCGCCAAGGCUUUUGAUAGUGCAUCAUGGGAAUAUCUGAUAGAGCUUCUUCAGAGAUUAGGUUUCUCGCAUCGGUGGAUAGAUUGGGUAGCGCUCCUGCUGUCUACCUCCUCAUCGGCGUGCUUAUUGAACGGCGUCCCGGGCAGCUGCUUCUUGCACCUUCGAGGAUUGCGGCAAGGCGAUCCGCUGUCGCCGCUGCUCUUCAUUCUCUGCAUCGACUCCCUCCACCGGCCGCUG